UACGUAGGGUGCAAGCGUUUUCCGGAAUUAUUGGGCGUAAAGAGCUCGUAGGUGGCCUGUCGCGUCGGCUGUGAAAACUCGGGGCUCAACUCCGAGCUUGCAGUCGAUACGGGCAGGCUAGAGUUCGGCAGGGGAGACUGGAAUUCCUGGUGUAGCGGUGAAAUGCGCAGAUAUCAGGAGGAACACCGGUGGCGAAGGCGGCUCUCUAGUACGGUACUGACGCUGAGACGCGAAAGCGUGGGGAGCGAACAGG
rnacentral:rRNA from 1 species